GUUUUGAGAAAGAGAGGGAAUGAAAUUUGCUGUUGGUGGCUUGGGCUUUUCACAUUCUAUAUACAUAACCUUUUCCAUAGAAACCUAGUUUAGAACAGAAGUGUCAUGGGACUUAAGGAAGAAGUGUUAGGCUGCUGGUGCUCCUGUCCUGCUCUCUGUUUAUUUCCCUCUGUGGGCGUAGAGGUCGUUUGGCAGUUCCAUUCCACCGACAGGGUAACAUUUAAAAGAAAAAACAACAGCAACAAACAAUAAAAGAGUAGGAGCUAACCAGGCCUCCCUUCUCACUACAAUCUGUUUACAGUAACUUAAGUUUUUCUUCAUUCCUCCAAGACAAAUCAGGUGCCCCUCUGACAGUGUCCCCCUCCCUGACCACCGGCUUUAUAGUUGGUAUUUAAAUGUUGGUAAUGAGUUAAGUUGGUGUGUGUAUAUAUGCAAAGACAGACAUUUCCCACUCAAAGGAAGACAAGUUCUACUUAAAGGGGAAUUAGCCAAUUUCAGACAUAUUACAGAGAUUAUUUCUUCACAUAUUUAAAUAUCCAUGAUACUUAAUAUCCUCAGCACUCUGGACCCAUUUCAUGUAAUCUGGUUUAUCCAUCUCUAUGUUGUUUACCUCUUGUUUUAGGCAAAGAGCUGCCUUACACACACCAGGAAGCAUGAAACCAAAGCAAAGAGAUAAGAAAGCUCCAGUAGAUUCAUUCCAAUGUUCUCCUGCUCUCUGAAGUUUUCUCCCAAAACAUUUGCCCUCCCCAACCUUGGCCACCAUUUCUCAAAAAUAAAUUAUUCUGUGCUGCCACAAGCAUUUGGGCAUGCCAUCUAGGACCAAUCAAGAUUAUUAUAAUUAUUUACUGAUGUCCCCUUUACUCCAUUAUCUUGUAAGCUCCUUGGAGAGAGAGCUUAUGACUUAUUUAUCAUUAUAUUUCCUGAACACAGCAGAGUGUUUGAAACAGAAAAGGUACAUAAUAGACUCUGUUGAAUUGAACUGAAUUGCAGGUCAAUGAAAAAAUUAUUUCCAAGCUCUUUGGAGAAAGUGGGGAUUAUGGCUUCUGGGGUAAGAAUGGGAUAGGGACAGAUCUAAAAUGCAGAGUUGUGAUAGAUCACCUGUGCAGGGAACUACAAAUAGUUGAGUGUGGCUCCAUUGAGUGUGUCCAAUGUGAGUGCAUAUCAGGAGAGAAAGGUAAGCAGGGGACAGAUCCUCAGGGGCUGUGGACCCCCACUAAAUAGUUUAGGAUAUAUCCUAUGAGUCAUGGACAAGUAUAAAACUAUUUUAAGCCUAUGAUGUGAUCCUAUUUGGUUUAUAGACAGAACACUGGCAUCAAAAUAAAGGAUAAACCGGAACAGAUUGAGACUAGAGGCAGGGAUUUAAUGGUCAAGACCCUGGUCCUUGGAAGGCUGGAAGGAUAAUGUCUAAUGGAUCCAUGGUCAGUGUGCAAAUGUGCCUGCAUCUCUGGUACCCACGACUCUAGGACUGCCCAAAGAUGUUCAAGCACUUUUCCAGAAUUUUGAGAACCUAGUGGAUUAUGUUUGAAAACAACAAAAACUGGCCUUUCUUCCAAAGACAUGAGAAAUUUAUUUAGUGUUAAAAGCCCAUAAAUUUAUAUAAGAUUCUGGGGGUGGCCAUUUUGGCAAAACAAAUUUCCCAUCAGCCUAUUUGAUUUCACUUCCAACCUUUCAUGAAAUACAUGUAUAGAGAAAGCAUGAGACUCCCCACUGGGUUCUGCGUUCAUGUGCAUCUGCCGUCCAAUUUACAGCUUACGAAGGAGGUGUUAAUUAGUUGGCAGAAGCACCUGAACAGGGAGUACUGGGUUGGCUGAGGGGGUGGGAAGGUCUCUGGCAUUUCCUUAUUCGCAUAGGCAGGAAACGAGAAGAAAGGAAACUCACAUUGCUGUCCAAAAUGGCAACCUCCAAGCCAAGGCAAGUGGGGCAAUUAUAGCAGGUGCCUCUUUUCUCUAAAAAGAGAGUCUAUUUCUGGAUUCAUGUGACUAAUAUCAAAUUAAUAUCAAAUGCUCAUAAGAAUUUAUUUUAAGUUUUACCUUCAUAUACUACUCCCUAAAUUUUAAAGAUCUUUCAGAGAAACAUGAGUUAGUUUUUGCUAUUGAGUAGGGUAAAAUUAACGUUGAAGAAGGAAUAAAACGAAUUCCCACAGGAGAAAAAGCAGACAACAGUCUUCCAAGAGAAAGGGCAGUGAUCAGGAGCCAGGAGAGUUGAAGAGGUGGAGAGCAGAGAGGGGAAGUCACAAAUCCAGGUGGAGCAGAAAAGAUUUUUCAUUGGUAGUCAAUAAAGAAAAGUUGGCUGAGUUGAAGUAGAUGCUUCUAGGCAACCAUUUGUUUGGGGGGGGAGAAUAAGGCUAAAUAAAGAACAGCUCAAGCUUUCUUCAAUUUGUAUGUCAAUAAAACUCAUCAAAUCUCUGUGACUCAAAAUGAACAAAUGGUUCAUGCAACAAAAUGAAGACAGAGCAACAGGAUGUCACCUAGUAAAACAUUUCCAUUUUGGAGGUGGCACAACUGAGGUGCACAGAAGGAAAGUAACUUUACCAAGGAUGUUGAUGGUGGAAUCAUAGCUUGAACUUUGGGUUCCUGACUUUCUGCCCAUUAUUCCUUCCACCACACUGAAAUGUUUUUUUAAAGGUCUUCAGAACGCACUUGGGGCAGUACCCCC
rnacentral:lncRNA from 1 species